AGGAGAGGCUCUCCUCAUUCUCCUUUGUUGUUCUAACGGGCAAGGUGCCAGCGGGGUUUUGUAAGCACCUGAGAACAGCGAUGACAAGUAGUGCCUGAGAGUCACAGAGGCACAGGUGGCUUUGACAUUCCCCCAUACAGCGGUCAGAGAGAACCCACACAUUCUGCUCUCGAUGGAGAAGAGCAAGAAGGAUGACCAUCAGGCUGUGCUCAAUGAAGGAGAGGAGAAUGAGCUGGAGGUGUUUGGCUACCACACUCAGAAUCUACGGAGAGCCCUGUGCCUUGUCACAGCCAUCCUGACUCUUGGUGCAGUUCAGCUGAUGUUCUACUGGAGACCUGAGUGGUGGGUGUGGACCAGUUGCAUCCCAUGCCCCUUGCAAGAAGCAGAUACAGUUUUGUUGAGGACAACCGAUGAAUUUCGAAGAUAUAUGAGGAAAAAGGUCUUUUGCCUCCACUUAUCCACACUGAAGUUUCCUAUAAGCAAGAACCCAGAGGAACCUCUGGUAGCUGACCACCACUCGGUCAUAAACCAAGCUGUAAUGAAGCCAGAACUGAAACUACGGUGCAUCCAAGUGCAGAAAAUCAGGUACGUGUGGGAUUUCUUGAAGAAGCGAUUUCAGAAAGUUGGGUUGCUGGAAGACAGUAACUCCUGCUUUGACAUUCAUCAUACAUUUGGAUUGGGUCUGACCAGCGAAGAGCAAGAGGUCAGAAGGUUAGUGUGUGGGCCCAAUGCUAUCGAGGUGGAGAUCCAGCCCAUAUGGAAGCUACUUGUUAAACAGGUUUUAAAUCCAUUCUAUGUGUUCCAAGCCUUCACCCUCACUCUGUGGCUGUCCCAGGGUUACAUAGAAUACUCUGUGGCUAUCAUCAUUUUGACUGUUAUCUCCAUCGUCUUGAGUGUAUAUGAUUUGAGACAGCAAUCAGUUAAGCUGCACAAGCUCGUGGAGGAUCACAACAAAGUUCAGGUCACCAUUACAGUAAGAGACAAAGGUCUACAGGAGCUGGAGUCCCGCCUCCUGGUUCCGGGAGAUAUUCUCAUUCUUCCAGGGAAAAUUUCAUUGCCCUGUGAUGCUGUCUUGAUUGAUGGGAGUUGUGUGGUGAAUGAAGGAAUGCUCACAGGAGAAAGUAUACCUGUCACAAAGACACCAUUGCCCCAAACGGAGAACACCAUGCCCUGGAAAUCCCACAGUUUGGAGGACUACCGGAAACAUGUGCUCUUCUGUGGAACAGAAGUGAUUCAGGUCAAGCCAUCUGGUCAAGGACCUGUUAGAGCCGUUGUGCUGCAGACAGGUUAUAAUACAGCAAAAGGGGACUUAGUGAGAUCCAUUCUGUACCCCCGACCACUGAACUUCAAACUGUAUAAUGAUGCCUUCAAGUUCAUGGUGUUCCUGGCCUGCAUCGGUGUUGUGGGAUUUUUCUAUGCCCUAGGUGUCUAUAUGUACCAUGAAGUUCCUCCGAGAGAAACUGCAACCAUGGCUCUGAUCCUCCUCACUGCUACGGUCCCUCCUGUGCUUCCAGCUGCACUGACCAUAGGCAAUGUGUAUGCCCAGAAGAGGUUGAAGAAGAAGAAGAUUUUCUGCAUCUCCCCACAGAGAAUCAACAUGUGCGGCCAGAUCAACCUCGUGUGCUUCGACAAAACAGGAACUCUGACAGAAGAUGGACUGGACCUCUGGGGGACUGUCCCCACUGCUGGCAACUGUUUCCAGGCAGUCCACAGCUUUGCCUCCGGUGAGCCUGUACCCUGGGGCCCACUGUGUGCAGCCAUGACCAGCUGCCACUCCCUGAUUCUUCUCGAUGGGACCAUCCAAGGAGACCCUUUGGACCUCAAAAUGUUUGAAGGAACUGGUUGGAAUAUGGAAGAUGGCCAAGUGGCCUCCUGCAAAUUUGGCAUGUCAGAUUCAAGCCCAGUAAUAAAACCAGGACCGGAAGCUAGCCAGAGUCCCGUGGACAGCAUCACCAUCUUGCGCCAGUUCCCGUUUUCCUCGGGCCUGCAAAGGAUGUCUGUGAUUGCUCAGCUGGCUGGUGACCUUCACCUCCACGUCUACAUGAAGGGUGCCCCGGAAAUGGUGGCCAGGUUCUGCUGCUCUGAAACGGUGCCUGAGAACUUCCUACAGGAGCUGAGGAACUACACUGUGCAAGGCUUCCGCGUCAUUGCUCUUGCCCACAAAACCCUGAAGAUGGAGAGGCUCUCAGAUGUGGACCGUCUAGCAAGGGAGAAAGUGGAGUCCGAGUUGACAUUUCUGGGACUUCUCAUAAUGGAGAAUCGCUUGAAAAAAGAAACAAGGCCUGUACUGAAGGAGCUGAGCGAGGCCCGCAUCAGGACGGUGAUGGUUACAGGUGACAAUCUUCAAACUGCCAUCACUGUUGCUAAAAAUUCUGAAAUGAUUCCUCUGGGCAGCCAGGUCAUCAUUGUCGAGGCUAAUGAGCCAGGAGACCUUGUUCCUGCUUCUGUGACCUGGCAGCUGGUGGGGACCCAAGAGCCAGGCUCUGGGAAGAAGGACACCUACAUUGACAUCGGCAACAGUUGUGUACCCGGUGGGAAAGGUUACCAUUUUGCAAUGAGUGGAAAGUCAUACCAAGUAUUAUUUCAUCACUUCUACAGCAUGCUGCCACAAAUUCUGGUUAAUGGAACCAUUUUUGCAAGAAUGUCUCCUGGGCAGAAAUCAAGCCUUGUGGAAGAGUUUCAGAAAUUGAAUUAUUAUGUGGGCAUGUGUGGAGAUGGAGCCAAUGACUGUGGGGCUUUGAAAAUGGCUCACGCGGGCAUCUCGCUAUCAGAACAGGAAGCAUCCGUGGCAUCUCCCUUCACCUCGAAAACAGCCAAUAUUGAAUGUGUGCCUCAUCUCAUCAGGGAGGGCCGAGCUGCUCUGGUCUCAUCCUUUGGUGUAUUUAAAUACUUGACCAUGUACGGAAUCAUUCAAUUUAUUGGAACGUCACUUCUGUACUGGCAACUUCAGCUCUUUGGUAAUUACCAGUAUCUCCUGCAAGACGUGGCCAUUACACUGAUGGUCAGCUUAACGACCUUUAAGACAAAAUACAUUGAUGUAGCAUGGCCUUAGGGUAAUCAUUACAGUGGAUGAAGUGAGCAUAAACCAUGCCUACCCGAAGUUGGCUCCAUACAGACCAGCAGGACAACUGCUUUCCCCUCAGUUGCUACUCUCGGUCUUCAUGAAUUCUUGUUUCACCUGCAUUGUGCUAGUGUCUACAUUUCUCUCGGUGAAACAGCAGCCUUGGUACUGUGAGGUCUACAAAUACAGUGAAUGCUUUCUGGCCAACCAAAGUAAUUUCUCAACCAACACGAGUUUGGAGCAAAACUGGACUGGAAAUGCAACUCUGGUUCCUGCUUCUGUGCUAAGUUUCGAGGGUACCACUUUGUGGCCCAUCGUCACCUUCAACUGCAUCUCAGCAGCAUUUAUUUUUUCUAAGGGAAAGCCAUUUCGGAAACCCAUCUACACAAACUAUUUAUUCUCGCUUCUGCUGACAUCUGCUGUGGGCCUCACUCUUUUCAUUCUGUUUUCUGAUUUUCAAGAUAUAUACCGUAAAAUGGAGUUCAUCCCAACAACAAUGUCAUGGAGAAUUUCGAUUCUGGUGGCAGCCUUUGUCCAGUUCUGCGUGGCCUUCUUUGUAGAGGAUGCCAUCCUUCAGAAUAGAGAGCUCUGGCUGCUUAUAAAGAAAGAAUUUGGAUUCUACUCCAAAAGUCAGUAUAGAGUCUUGCAGAGAAAGCUGGCAGAAGACCCGACAUGGCCUCCCACAAACAGGACAGAUUAUGCAGUCAAUGGCAAAAAUGGAUUCUACAUCAACAGAGCCUAUGAGAGCCCCGAAGAGGUCCCCAAAGGGAAGCUCACGCUGGGAGGGCAAGCUUCAGAACAGCACUUUUGGACCAGACUGUAAUCUGAAUUGCUGUCACGCCUGUUCCGCAACGUUACCCUUUGUUCCCUAAACUAAACAUUGUGGAAAGGUGGAAAACUGCGUACCCUUCUCUCUUCAUCAAAGCAUUCAGUGCACUUCAACAUGCCGAGAGUCUUGCAGCAGGGAACCUAACAUUAAUUAUAUCCUUCACUAGCUGGACAGAAAACUGCAUGUCUCAGAUCACCAUUUUAAUAACCCAUAUUCAUAUUGUAUUGUUCUAAAUGGACAGGUCUCAUGCAAUGAAACUGAAUGUAUGGCCAUCAGAUGAGAAGAAAAGCUGAGGUAGCAUUUGGCAGUUGAAAGUUUGAGUAAUAUAUUAAUUGAUGUAAGUUUCCUUAAUCUUAUAUUAAUUUGUGAACCACAUUCUUGUACAUAUAUUUGACCAGGAUCAAUGAAAUGCCUCCUGGUUUGCAUCUUUGGUGUGGCUUUAUUAGAGAAAUAAGAUUACUAAUUCCACCCUAGCUACACAGGAAGCCAGAGAGGUGUGGAAGUUGAGAAUAGGGAUUGGUGCUAAACUUUUAUAAUCAGGCAUGGCAUUGCUAAAAUGUAUGCAAACUAUACCAACUUUGUACAUUCCAAAGGUAUAUUGUAUGGGGCCAGUGAAUCUAACAGUGCAGAAUAGACAAAAAUAAUGAAAUAAACUGUUCAAAUGUGUUUUUCACU